rnacentral:rRNA from 1 species
GGCAGACGGGUGAGUAACGCGUGGGAACAUACCUCUUGGUUCGGAACAACACAGGGAAACUUGUGCUAAUACCGGAUAAGCCCUUACGGGGAAAGAUUUAUCGCCGAGAGAUUGGCCCGCGUCUGAUUAGCUAGUUGGUAGGGUAAUGGCCUACCAAGGCGACGAUCAGUAGCUGGUCUGAGAGGAUGAUCAGCCACAUUGGGACUGAGACACGGCCCAAACUCCUACGGGAGGCAGCAGUGGGGAAUAUUGGACAAUGGGGGCAACCCUGAUCCAGCCAUGCCGCGUGAGUGAUGAAGGCCCUAGGGUUGUAAAGCUCUUUUGUGCGGGAAGAUAAUGACGGUACCGCAAGAAUAAGCCCCGGCUAACUUCGUGCCAGCAGCCGCGGUAAUACGAAGGGGGCUAGCGUUGCUCGGAAUCACUGGGCGUAAAGGGUGCGUAGGCGGGUUUUUAAGUCAGGGGUGAAAUCCUGGAGCUCAACUCCAGAACUGCCUUUGAUACUGAAGAUCUUGAGUCCGGGAGAGGUGAGUGGAACUGCGAGUGUAGAGGUGAAAUUCGUAGAUAUUCGCAAGAACACCAGUGGCGAAGGCGGCUCACUGGCCCCGGUACUGACGCUGAGGCACGAAAGCGUGGGGAGCAAACAGGAUUAGAUACCCCUGGUAGUCCACGCCGUAAACGAUGAAUGCCAGCCGUUAGUGGGUUUACUCACUAGUGGCGCAGCUAACGCUUUAAGCAUUCCGCCUGGGGAGUACGGUCGCAAGAUUAAAACUCAAAGGAAUUGACGGGGGCCCGCACAAGCGGUGGAGCAUGUGGUUAAUU